rnacentral:rRNA from 1 species
AUGAACGCUGGCGGCGUGCCUAAUACAUGCAAGUCGAGCGAACAGAUAAGGAGCUUGCCCCUUUGACGUUAGCGGCGGACGGGUGAGUAACACGUGGAUAACCUACCUAUAAGACUGGGAUAACUUCGGGAAACCGGAGCUAAUACCGGAUAACAUAUUGAACCGCAUGGUUCAAUAGUGAAAGGCGGCUUUGCUGUCACUUAUAGAUGGAUCCGCGCCGUAUUAGCUAGUUGGUAAGGUAACGGCUUACCAAGGCAACGAUACGUAGCCGACCUGAGAGGGUGAUCGGCCACACUGGAACUGAGACACGGUCCAGACUCCUACGGGAGGCAGCAGUAGGGAAUCUUCCGCAAUGGGCGAAAGCCUGACGGAGCAACGCCGCGUGAGUGAUGAAGGUCUUCGGAUCGUAAAACUCUGUUAUCAGGGAAGAACAAAUGUGUAAGUAACUGUGCACAUCUUGACGGUACCUGAUCAGAAAGCCACGGCUAACUACGUG